GAUGAAGAACGUAGCGAAAUGCGAUAAGUAAUGUGAAUUGCAGAAUUCAGUGAAUCAUCGAAUCUUUGAACGCACAUUGCGCCCCCUGGUAUUCCGGGGGGCAUGCCUGUUCGAGCGUCAUUUCACCACUCAAGCCUCGCUUGGUAUUGGGCAACGCGGUCCGCCGCGUGCCUCAAAUCGACCGGCUGGGUCUUCUGUCCCCUAAGCGUUGUGGAAACUAUUCGCUAAAGGGUGUUCGGGAGGCUACGCCGUAAAACAACCCCAUUUCUAAGAUUGACCUCGGAUCAGGUAGGGAUACCCGCUGAACUUAAGCAUAUCAAUAAGCGGAGGA
rnacentral:misc_RNA from 1 species